GGGGAUGUAGCUCAGUGGGAGAGCGCCUUCCUUGCACGGAGGAAGCCAGGGGUUCGAAUCCCCUCAUCUCCA
rnacentral:tRNA from 1 species